rnacentral:rRNA from 1 species
UGGGGAAUUUUGGACAAUGGGGGCAACCCUGAUCCAGCCAUGCCGCGUGAGUGAAGAAGGCCUUCGGGUUGUAAAGCUCUUUCGGCCGGGAAGAAAUCGCAUCUUUUAAUAGAGGGUGUGGAUGACGGUACCGGACUAAGAAGCACCGGCUAACUACGUGCCAGCAGCCGCGGUAAUACGUAGGGUGCGAGCGUUAAUCGGAAUUACUGGGCGUAAAGCGUGCGCAGGCGGUUUGCCAAGACAGGCGUGAAAUCCCCGGGCUUAACCUGGGAACUGCGCUUGUGACUGGCAGGCUAGAGUACGGCAGAGGGGGGUGGAAUUCCACGUGUAGCAGUGAAAUGCGUAGAGAUGUGGAGGAACACCGAUGGCGAAGGCAGCCCCCUGGGCCUGUACUGACGCUCAUGCACGAAAGCGUGGGGAGCAAACAGG